AUUCCAGCUCCAAUAGCGUAUAUUAAUGUUGUUGCAGUUAAAAAGCUCGUAGUUGGAUUUCUGGUGGGAGCGGCCGGUCCGCCGCAAGGUGUGUACUUGGUUGUCUCCUGUCAUCCUUGUGGGAACUGCUCUGGCAUUAAGUUGUCGGGGUUAGGGAACACAUCGUUUACUGUGAAAAAAUUAGAGUGUUUAAAGCAGGCUUAUGCCGUUGAAUACAUUAGCAUGGAAUAAUAAGAUAGGACUUUGGCGUCUAUUUUGUUGGUUUGCACACCAAGGUAAUGAUUAAUAGGGAUAGUUGGGGGUAUUCGUAUUUAAUUGUCAGAGGUGAAAUUCUUGGAUUUAUGAAAGACGAACUUCUGCGAAAGCAUUUACCAAAGAUGUUUUCAUUG
rnacentral:rRNA from 1 species